rnacentral:rRNA from 1 species
AGGACGAACGCUGGCGGCGCGCUUAACACAUGCAAGUCGAGCGAGAACCAGCCCUUCGGGGCUGGGGACAGCGGCGAACGGGUGAGUAACACGUGGGUAAUCUGCCCUCGGCACCGGGAUAGCCCGGGGGAAACCCGGAUUAAUACCGGAUGGCCUCUCGAGCUCCCGAGCUCGUGAGAAAAGGUAGCUUCGGCCUCCGGCCGAGGAUGAGCCCGCGGUCGAUUAGCUUGUUGGUGAGGUAAUGGCUCACCAAGGCGACGAUCGAUAGCUGGUCUGAGAGGACGAUCAGCCACACUGGGACUGAGACACGGCCCAGACUCCUACGGGAGCAGCAGUGGGAAUCUUGCGCAAUGGGCGAAAGCCUGACGCAGCGACGCCGUGUCGGCGGGAAG